CUUCUUUUAUCUAAAUCAGCCUCCGGUAGAUGCAUAUUACAACGGGCAAAGCAAAACCCUUGUUUCAAGCAAGAUAAAGAUAGAAACAAACUAACAGAAAUUAUUAUUGAAGAUGAAUUGAGCAGAUCUGAAAAGUAAACAUACUUGUCAAUAAUUUUAUAAUUUUUACUUACUUAGUUCUCUUACAUUUAUUAUAAUUUUUUAAUUGUUAGAAAUUUUUCUCUUUCUUUAAAUUUUUGUAUUUCUUUAUCUUCAGGAUUUCAAGUACAUGUUUUGCUGAACUUGUACAAGCAAUACAGUUUAUAUUUCCUGAAGAGGAUAGUGUAAGGCAAAAUUUUAGCAAGCUUUUAUUACUAAAUAUGUGAUAAACUUUAUUUUAUUACAUGAAUUUUGUAUUAAUGUUGAUUUUCUCUUGGCAGGAAUUGUAUUUUAUUCCAUAUAAAAACAAUGAUGGACAAAAAUUUGUGGCCAAAGGAAAAUUAGUAACAAAGUAUUAUUCUGUUUGAAAGGAGUUUAAAGCACUUGGUGUCAUUACUGAAAAGAAAAAUGAAUCUGACAUUGAAGAUAAUUUAGAAGGUUAGUUAUGUUGCCUCUAUUUGCAUUUCUUUCUUUAGUAAGAAUAUACAAAAUGGACACAAAUAUUUGGCGUUUUUCCUUGUUGUUUGUACUUUUAUAGUUUAUUUAAAGGUUCUCAAUUGUUUUAUUCUACUUUUGUACUUUAUUUCGUGAUUUUUUUGUCAGUGCAUGAUGCUCUACAAGCCAAGCUUAAGUUACUUGAGGAAAACACUGAGCCCUGGUCCACAGUAGAAUAUUGGAUCGACACUUCUAAACAUAGAGUUACAGAGUUACAUAUAAAAUCUCGAGUUGCGAACCAAAAUAAAAGAAGUGAUAAGGGAAAAGCCAGUGGUACAGGCAAGUUCAAAAGUAGUGCAAUUUUGGAAACCACACAAGCAAGGCAGGACAAGAAAGAGUUGGAAAAUGUCUCAACUUACAUGAACAAAUAUCCAGCUCUCAAUAUCCAGAGAAAAAUGUGGAUAUACUUUGGUUAAUAUUAUAAAUAUUAUUGAUCUCUAUUAUUGAUUAUAAUUAUUAUUUAUUAAUCUGGAUUUUAUCACAUGAUAAAUUGGUGCUUCUAUAUAGGUAUUUUUUGUUUUAGUUUCAAAUUUGAUUUACUAUAUCCUGAGCAAAAACUUAAAACCUACAGCUUUUUUGACAGUUUUUGUGAGCGUAUUAUACAAGCUCUUAACAAUGAAGAAAGUAAAUGUGAUGCUGUGAAAGAUAAUUUGUUAUUGAUAUCGGAAGAAGGGGUUUCAGAUGAAAUAAAAAAUUGGGUGGCAUUAUUGUCACUGUGCUACUUGGAUACUGUCGUAACCCGACAAUCUAGUGGUAAUAAAACAUGGAGACUGCCCCUUGCAGAAAUUCAGGAGGGAGUUAUUUCACACAUUGAAAAUGUUGGAAAACGUCUAUCCUUUGUGCAAGAAAGAAAAAAAAUUAGCGUAUUAGGGCAUUACCGUGCAGCCAUAUGUUGCUGUAUGUGGAUCAUCUGUAAAUGAUAUAGAUACGUAAUUGUGGAUACAGAGAUCAAAUUUGUUUCUCAAUCACCACAAAGAGCCUUGGAUCUGUGCUUUAAGAUCAUUCGUGCAGCUCAUCUUGAACGGUAACUCUCCAGAGAGUUACCGUUUGUGGAGACUUAUUCAAAAAGAACUGUAUGAGUUAACAACUCCAUUUGACGAAUGGAAAUCUGAUGCUCAACUUCCAAGAUUAUUAAAAAAAUUUCGUAAAUAGGAUAUAAGACUGUUUUAUUAUCGCAUUGUAAAUAUUAUAGUUUAUAUUGAAAUAUGCAAGCAUUUUCAAGUUCUGUUUUGUUUGUACUGAUAUGAGUAUUUUAGUUUUAAGUCAAAAGUUACUACGAGUUUACUUAUAUUUAUAUUUGGACUUCGUAUUGCUGUCAAUGGCUUCCAAUGUAAUUGAACUUAGUUUUUUUAUGUGACGUAGGUUACAUGUGAAAAUUUUAUUUACUAUUGUCAUAAGUUAUAUAAUUUUAUAAUCUAUUAAAAUGCCGUCCUGUUUUAUAUGUGCAAUUGAA